AGAGUUUGAUCCUGGCUCAGAAUCAACGCUGGCGGCGCGCUUAACACAUGCAAGUCGCACGAGAAAGCGGGAGCAAUCCCGCAAGUACAGUGGCGUACGGGUGAGUAACACGUGGGUGAUCUACCCUUUAGUGGGGAAUAACGCUGGGAAACCGGCGCUAAUACCGCAUAAGCUCGAGAGAGGAAAGCAGCAAUGCGCUGAAGGAGGAGCCCGCGGCCGAUUAGCUAGUUGGGAGGGUAAAAGCCUACCAAGGCAUAGAUCGGUAGCCGGCCUGAGAGGGCACACGGCCACACUGGCACUGAAACACGGGCCAGACUCCUACGGGAGGCAGCAGUGGGGAAUCUUGCACAAUGGGGGAAACCCUGAUGCAGCGACGCCGCGUGAGCGAUGAAGCCCUUCGGGGUGUAAAGCUCUUUCGUCAGGGACGAUAAUGACGGUACCUGGAGAAGCAGCUGCGGCUAACUACGUGCCAGCAGCCGCGGUAAUACGUAGGCAGCGAGCGUUGUUCGGAGUUACUGGGCGUAAAGGGUGUGUAGGCGGUUUUCUAAGUUUGGUGUGAAAUCUCCCGGCUCAACCGGGAGGGUGCGCCGAAAACUGGGAGACUAGAGUGCGGGAUGGGAGAGUAGAAUUCCUGGUGUAGCGGUGAAAUGCGUAGAUAUCAGGAGGAAUACCGGUGGUGUAGACGGCUCUCUGGACCGCCACUGACGCUGAGACACGAAAGCGUGGGUAGCAAACAGGAUUAGAUACCCUAGUAGUCC
rnacentral:rRNA from 1 species